GCAUAAAAACAGAAACUACAGAAACCACUGAAAGCUAAAGCAAAACGUAAAAACGGAGAGAAAAACAACAUAAAGGAAAGUGGAGCCGUGCAGCAACCGAUGGAGAAGUUUAUUCUGAAAUGAGAUCAAGAAUGCCUCUGGAUAAAAACGUUAUCACAAUGUAAAAAUGUCAGGAUUGGGUUUUCUCUGUGUUGAUUUGAGUUUUUCUGUGUGUUGGUUUCGGGUUUCUGUGUCUUGAGUCUCCGUGUUGUCCUGUCGACCCCUUGGUUGUUCCCAGGUGUGUCUCGUUCCCUGAUUACCCUCUGUGUGUUUAAUCCCACCUGUGUUCCUUGUUCCUCGUCGGGUCCUUGUCUAAUCGGUCUAGUUGUCGAGUCAAGUUUGACGUUUUGUCUCCCGUCUGUUAUUCAUUAGUUCCAGUUGUCAGCAUUAUUCUUCUGCUCAUCUGUGCUGCCUGGAUUAUUGUGUUUUUGGAUCAUUAAAUCAUUUUUCUCACCCAACAAUCUGGGUUCAUCACAUAUUCUCACCACCUUACACUGCAACACAUGACAAAAGAAAAAGAAAAAAAUCUCCUAUUUUUAUGCAUCUGUGAAGAAUUUUUACUAACAAACAUUUAAUGAAACUGGAAAACAAAAGCUAGAUAUGCGCAAAAGUUGAAACGGAUCAAUUUAAAGUUUUGUGUGGAUUCAAAGCGUGCUGUAUUAUAUGCAAAUGUCCUUUAAACUCUUUCACUUUUCAGGGGCAACGAUGUUAUUGCUGCAUUUAAAAGGACAUUUAAGUUUAAUAUUUUCAGUGUCUGUUGAGUUUAGCAAAGGAAACGUCUCUUA